rnacentral:rRNA from 1 species
GAUGAACGCUCGCGAUAGGCUUAACACAUGCAAGUCGAGGGGCAGCACAAGGUAGCUUGCUAUCUGGGUGGCGACCGGCGCACGGGUGCGUAACGCGUAUGCAACUUGCCCUAUACAGGAGGAUACCCCGUCGAAAGACGGACUCAUACUACGUAUUCUCACAACUUGGCAUCCAGUGGUGAGGAACGAAAUUCGGUAUAGGAUAGGCAUGCGUCCCAUUAGCUUGUUGGUGAGGUAACGGCUCACCAAGGCAACGAUGGGUAGGGGAACUGAGAGGUUUGUCCCCCACACUGUGACUGACACACGUACCAGACUGCUACGGGAGGCAGCAGUAAGGGAGAUAGGGCAAGGGGCGCGAGCCUGAACCAGCCAAGUCGCGUGAAGGAAGACUGUGUUAGGGAUGGUAAACUUCUUUUAGACGAGAAUAACAAGAGUCACGUGUGACUCCCUGCCGGUACCGGAUGAAUAAGCAUCGGCUAACUCCGUG